rnacentral:rRNA from 1 species
CACGCCGUAAACGAUGAUGACUAACUAUGGCCGUGAGGCCGUGGUGAAGCUAACGCAUUAAGUCAUCCGCCUGGGAAGUACGGUCGCAAGACUGAAACUUAAAGGAAUUGACGGGACCCCGCACAAGCAGUGGAGCAUGUGGUUUAAUUCGAAGCAACGCGAAGAACCUUACCUGGACUUGACAUACCCUGAAUAUCUUAGAGAUAAGAGAAGCCCUUCGGGGCAGGGAUACAGGUGG